rnacentral:rRNA from 1 species
UGGGGGAUUUUGCACAAUGGGCGCAAGCCUGAUGCAGCGACGCCGCGUGAGGGAUGAAGGCCUUCGGGUUGUAAACCUCUUUCGCUGGGUUGAAAGGCCAUGCUUUGGGUGUGGUUGAUUUGAACUGGUAAAGAAGUACCGGCUAACUACGUGCCAGCAGCCGCGGUAAUACGUAGGGUACUAGCGUUGUCCGGAUUUAUUGGGCGUAAAGGGCUUGUAGGUGGUUUGUCGCGUCUGUCGUGAAAUCCUGUGGCUUAACCAUGGGCGUGCGGUGGAAACGGGCAGGCUUGAGUGCGGUGGGGGAGACUGGAAUUCCUGGUGUAGCGGUGGAAUGCGCAGAUAUCAGGAGGAACACCGGUGGCGAAGGCGGGUCUCUGGGCCGUUACUGACACUGAGGAGCGAAAGCGUGGGGAGCGAACAGG